GUCCCUGUAGUGCAAUGGAUAGCACGAUGGAUUCCUAAUUCAAAGGUCGUGAUUUCGAAAUCCCACCUGGGAUG